GGGGAUGAUUGGCUUUGAUGGGGGAAAUGUUUUAUGUCAUGCCAGCCGAGUUGCAAUAACUCGUAAAACUUUUGCAAACUAGUAAAUGCUAAAUUUACUUCUAAACUCCGAGGUAUGGUUUCACCUUACUUCGCGGGUCUGGCUCCGGCUUACGCUUAAGCCAGCGCUUACUUCUUUGACUUCCGAUAAAAGACAGUGAGUGUAAUAUUUUCGGGAUAGCCCGACACCCGCUUCAGUGUUUAGGGCGAAGCAAAAGAAGCUCGGCGAAUAACUUUUUUGUCCGUUCCCUAGGUUAUUCGCUUAAAACAAAAAACGGCCUAUGCUUGUAGACUUGCCGUAAAAAUUCCUUCAGACGGCGGUUCGAUUCCGCCCAUCUCCACCG
rnacentral:tmRNA from 2 species